CCUCGUGCUUUCAGUAUAGAGGUACAAACAGGUCAAAACUACAAGCCUCAGGAGCCAAAGGGGGCCUGUUUCGGUUCGAAGCAAAACGAUUUCUAAGGAAAACUGUUAGCAGAAUGAAAAGGAACCGUUGUCCACGGCCAGGGGAAAGCUCGUGAAGGAAGCGGCAGCUGGGACACGCAAGUGCGGCGUGCAACAGUGUCCGCUGCCCGCAUGCCGUAACCAGGACUGUCGAUCAUACGGGCCUGUUUUAUUCAAGGGAAGGAAAAGAGCUACAUCAGCAGACUCCACAUCUGGAUGCUGCAAGUGAGGAAGGCAGACCUGCACACCACGUGACAGCAUCUGGGCAGACAACCUCGGGGAACUCCAUGAAGUACUUAUGUAGGGAAGCCAUAGCUCAUGCAGUUACCACCAUACAACAGAGAAGAGUCAUCACUGUCACCGGACUGGAGAGAGGGCUCAGUGGUUAAGAGCACUGACUGCUGUUCCAGAGGUCCUGAGUUCAACUCCCAGCACCCACAUGGUGGCUUGCAACCACCUGUAACCCCAGUUUCAAGUGUUCUGAAAUCCUCUUCCGGCCUCCUUGAGACUGUACUCAUGGGCACUUGGCAGGCAUAUGGUGUGCAGACAUAACAGCCAUAUACAUAAAAUAAAAUAUAAAUUUAAAGAAUAGCCUUCAAUAAAA